GUUUGCACUCAUCGGGGAAGGGUGAGAACCUUCGACUAAGGUUCGAUUCGAGCGAAAGCGAGAGAACGUUGCCACAGGCAACGGCCCGAAGGGUGAGGAGCG
rnacentral:sRNA from 1 species